ACGAGUGCGUGUUCAGCCGCCGCGGUAAUACGUAGGGUGCAAGCGUUAAUCGGAAUUACUGGGCGUAAAGCGUGCGCAGGCGGUUAUGUAAGACAGUUGUGAAAUCCCCGGGCUCAACCUGGGAACUGCAUCUGUGACUGCAUAGCUAGAGUACGGUAGAGGGGGAUGGAAUUCCGCGUGUAGCAGUGAAAUGCGUAGAUAUGCGGAGGAACACCGAUGGCGAAGGCAAUCCCCUGGACCUGUACUGACGCUCAUGCACGAAAGCGUGGGGAGCAAACAGGAUUAGAUACCCUGGUAGUCCACGCCCUAAACGAUGUCAACUGGUUGUUGGGUCUUCACUGACUCAGUAACGAAGCUAACGCGUGAAGUUGACCGCCUGGGGAGUACGGCCGCAAGAAUGAAACUCAAAUGAAUUGACGGG
rnacentral:rRNA from 1 species